rnacentral:rRNA from 1 species
AACGAACGCUGGCGGCAGGCUUAACACAUGCCAGUCGAACGCCCCGCAAGGGGAGUGGCAGACGGGUGAGUAACGCGUGGGAACAUACCCUUUCCUGCGGAAUAGCUCCGGGAAACUGGAAUUAAUACCGCAUACGCCCUACGGGGGAAAGAUUUAUCGGGGAAGGAUUGGCCCGCGUUGGAUUAGCUAGUUGGUGGGGUAAAGGCCUACCAAGGCGACGAUCCAUAGCUGGUCUGAGAGGAUGAUCAGACACAUUGGGACUGAGACACGGCCCAAACUCCUACGGGAGGCAGCAGUGGGGAAUAUUGGACAAUGGGCGCAAGCCUGAUCCAGCCAUGCCGCGUGAGUGAUGAAGGCCUUAGGGUUGUAAAGCUCUUUCACCGAUGAAGAUAAUGACGGUAGUCGGAGAAGAAGCCCCGGCUAACUUCGUG